AUAAUAACUCUUAUUUAUAUUUAAAAGCUAAAAAAACUAAUUAAGGACAGAAAUUAUUCUAAAAGAUUGCAAAGAUGUCAAAUAAAUAGAAUUCUACCAUAAAUAAAACACCUCUCAGAAUUUGAAAAAUCGCGCCCAGAAGUUGUACUAUGCGGUCGUAUAGUAUAAAUCAAUGCAGUCACUUAGAACAAAUAGCCAGCCUCAAUUUUAUCUCGAAAGAAAAUAGACUAUGCUGUCGCAUGGCUUUUAAGCUAUGCGGUCGCAUAAUUUAAUUUUUUGAAACCUCCUUUCCUUGUGUAAACUUUCAUGAUGAUUCUGGAUUGUAAUCAUGGGUGAAAAUUCGACACACGAGCUAAAAGUUGUGCCCGUUUUAAUCCAUGCUGCUCGUUUUUUCAUAUAUCUUCCAAAACUUUGAAUCCAACAUACCAAACAUGAUUUUGCCCUCAUGACCAAUAUAUAGGUUGUUAUUUGGCUUGUUAACUUCAACAUUUAGGACUCUAUAGCUCGAACAAAUAAUUUGCAUGGCUUGUUAGCUCGGAUUAAGCUCCGAUCAAACCAAACCCUGUUAUUAGCCUCUCGUCAAUUUGCAUAGAAGCCUCGUUGGUUCGUGGCCUAUCCCGGAUCAUAUCAUUUACCUUCUUUGAUGUUGAAAUAGCAGUUUAGCAAGACAUCAUCACACUCGUAAGUAUUUAAAAGAAAGUUUUCUUCCUUUCCAUAACUCAUAAGAGAUCUUUUUAAUUUUUUUUCUGGCACCUUAUUCAAAAGGUAAUUCGUUGAUAACACAUCUUUCCCCAGUAUGUUCUGAAGUAACUCAAAACUUACUAACAUUGCAUUCAUUAUAGCAACACCAUUUUGUUGCGGUGAAUGAGGUGUAAUGGUUUCA
rnacentral:lncRNA from 1 species